rnacentral:rRNA from 1 species
GAUGAACGCUGGCGGCGUGCCUAAUACAUGCAAGUCGAGCGAACAGACGAGGAGCUUGCUCCUCUGACGUUAGCGGCGGACGGGUGAGUAACACGUGGAUAACCUACCUAUAAGACUGGGAUAACUUCGGGAAACCGGAGCUAAUACCGGAUAAUAUAUUGAACCGCAUGGUUCAAUAGUGAAAGACGGUUUUGCUGUCACUUAUAGAUGGAUCCGCGCCGCAUUAGCUAGUUGGUAAGGUAACGGCUUACCAAGGCAACGAUGCGUGGCCGACCUGAGAGGGUGAUCGGCCACACUGGAACUGAGACACGGUCCAGACUCCUACGGGAGGCAGCAGUAGGGAAUCUUCCGCAAUGGGCGAAAGCCUGACGGAGCAACGCCGCGUGAGUGAUGAAGGUCUUCGGAUCGUAAAACUCUGUUAUUAGGGAAGAACAAAUGUGUAAGUAACUAUGCACGUCUUGACGGUACCUAAUCAGGAAGCCACGGCUAACUACGUG